GGUCAAGUUAUUAAGGGUGCAGGGCGGAUGCCUUGGCACUAGGAGCCGAUGAAGGACGUGAUAAGCUGCGAUAAGCUUCGGGGAGUUGCACGUAAACUUUGAUCCGAAGAUUUCCGAAUGAGGAAACUCACUUAGAGUAAUGUCUAAGUAUCAUUAAGUGAAUACAUAGCUUAAUGAGGGGAACUCAGGGAACUGAAACAUCUAAGUACCUGAAGGAAGAGAAAGAAAUUCGAUUCCGUAAGUAGCGGCGAGCGAACGCGGAUUAGCCCAAACCAAUAAAGUUUUCUUUAUUGGGGUUGCGGACAUAUCAUAACGAAGAGGUAUCGUAAUUGAAGAGGUUUGGAAAGACCCACCACAGAAGGUAAUAGUCCUGUAUGUUAAACGAGAAGACUUUAGAUAUGAUCCAGAGUACCACGGGACACGUGAAACCCUGUGGGAAGCAGGAGGGACCACCCUCCAAGGCUAAAUACUACCUAGUGACCGAUAGCGUAUAGUACCGUGAGGGAAAGGUGAAAAGAACCCCGGGAGGGGAGUGAAAUAGAACCUGAAACCCUGCACUUACAAGCUGUGGAAGCACAUUUCUUGUGUGACCGCGUACUUUUUGUAGAACGGGCCAACGAGUUACGUUAAGUAGCAAGGUUAAGCACUUAAGGUGCGGAGCCGUAGCGAAAGCGAGUUUUAACUGAGCGUUCAGUUACUUGACGUAGACCCGAAACCGGGCGACCUACCCAUGAGCAGGAUGAAGCGAAAGUAAAAUUUCGUGGAGGUCCGAACCCACGAGCGUUGAAAAGCUCGGGGAUGACUUGUGGGUAGCGGUGAAAUUCCAAUCGAGCCCGGAGAUAGCUGGUUCUCCCCGAAAUAGCUUUAGGGCUAGCCUCAAGGUGAGAGAUACGGAGGUAGAGCACUGAAUGUCCUAGGGGGUAUUGCACCUACCGAAGACUAUCAAACUCCGAAUGCCGUCAUCUUAUACUUGGGAGUCAGACUGUGGGUGAUAAGAUUCAUAGUCGAAAGGGCAACAGCCCAGAUCGUCAGCUAAGGUCCCUAAAUGUAAGUUAAGUGGUAAAGGAUGUGGGAUUGCACAGACAACCAGGAUGUUGGCUUAGAAGCAGCCACUCAUUCAAAGAGUGCGUAAUAGCUCACUGGUCGAGUGAUCCUGCGCCGAAGAUUUCCGGGGCUAAAACUUACUACCGAAGCUACGGCAUCAGUAAUGAUGGGUAGGGGAGCUUCCCAUACGGGUUGAAGCAUGACCGUAAGGACAUGUGGACAGUAUGGGAGUGAGAAUGUUGGCAUGAGUAGCGAGAUGUGGGUGAGAAUCCCACAGGCCGUAAACCCAAGGUUUCCAGGGGAAGGUUCGUCCGCCCUGGGUUAGUCGGGACCUAAGCUGAGGCCGAAAGGCGUAGGUGAUGGACAACAGGUUGAUAUUCCUGUACUACCGAUAACCGUUUGAGAGAAGGGAUGACACAGUAGGAUAAGCUAAGCACACUGUUGGUUAUGUGUGCCCAAGCAUUGAGGCAGUCAAAGUAGGCAAAUCCGCUUUGAUAAUGCUGGGAUGUGAUGGGGAGCGAAAUUUAGUAGCGAAGUAGCUGAUUUCACACUGUCAAGAAAAGUCUCUAUCGAGGUUAAAGGUACCCGUACCGCAAACCGACACAGGUGGGUGAGGAGAGUAUCCUAAGGCCAGCGAGAGAACUGUUGUUAAGGAACUCGGCAAAAUGACCCCGUAACUUAGGGAUAAGGGGUGCCACCAUCAGGUGGCCGCAGAGAAUAGGCCCAAGCGACUGUUUACCAAAAACAUAGGUUUCUGCUAAGUCGCAAGACGAUGUAUAGGAGCUGACGCCUGCCCGGUGCUGGAAGGUUAAGGGGAUCUGUUAGAGCAAUCGAAGCAGUGAACUUAAGCCCCAGUAAACGGCGGCCGUAACUAUAACGGUCCUAAGGUAGCGAAAUUCCUUGUCGGGUAAGUUCCGACCCGCACGAAAGGCGUAACGAUUUGGGCGGAUACCUGCGACAGGACGGAAAGACCCCAUGGAGCUUUACUGUAGCUUGACAUUGGGUCUUGGUACUACAUGUACAGGAUAGGUGGGAGGCUUUGAAACCAGGACGCCAGUUUUGGCGGAGCCAUCCUUGGGAUACCACCCUUGUAGUACUGGGACUCUAACCAUAGGCCAUGAAUCUGGUCUUGGGACACUGUCAGGUGGGCAGUUUGACUGGGGCGGUCGCCUCCCAAAAGGUAACGGAGGCGCUCAAAGGUUCUCUCAGUACGGUCGGAAAUCGUACGUAGAGUGUAAAGGCAAAAGAGAGCUUGAUUGCAAGACAUACAGGUCGAGCAAGGAUGAAAAUCGGACUUAGUGAUCCGGUGGUUCUGCGUGGAAGGGCCAUCGCUCAACGGAUAAAAGCUACCCUGGGGAUAACAGGCUUAUCUCCCCCAAGAGUCCACAUCGACGGGGAGGUUUGGCACCUCGAUGUGCUGUUCGCCCAUUAAAGUGGUACGCGAGCUGGGUUCAGAACGUCGUGAGACAGUUCGGUCCCUAUCCGUCGCAGGCGUAGGAAAUUUGAGAAGACCUGUCCUUAGUACGAGAGGACCGGGAUGGACGUACCUCUGGUGUACCAGUUGUCCUGCCAAGGGCAUGGCUGGGUAGCUAUGUACGGAAUGGAUAAGCGCUGAAAGCAUCUAAGCGCGAAGCCAACUUCAAGAUAAGAUUUCCCACCGCAAGGGUAAGACCCCAGAAAGACUAUCUGGUUGAUAGGUCGAAGGUGUAAGUGCAGCAAUGUAUUUAGCUUAUCGAUACUAAUAGGUCGAGGACUUGACCAA
rnacentral:rRNA from 1 species